GAUGAACGCUAGCGGCAGGCUUAACACAUGCAAGUCGUGGGGCAGCGCGAGGUAGCAAUACUUUGGCGGCGACCGGCAAACGGGUGCGGAACACGUACGCAACCUUCCUCAGAGCGGGGAAUAGCCUCUCGAAAGAGAGAUUAAUACCCCAUAGUAUCUCGAAACUGCAUGGUUUUGAGAUUAAAGCUUCGGCACUUUGAGAUGGGCGUGCGGCUGAUUAGGUAGUUGGUAGGGUAACGCCUACCAAGCCAACGAUCAGUAGCUGAUGUGAGAGCAUGAUCAGCCACACGGGCACUGAGACACGGGCCCGA
rnacentral:rRNA from 1 species